AAGUCGUAACAAGGUUUCUGUAGGUGAACCUGCGGAAGGAUCAUUAAUACGUUCUAAACAAACGUUUUAAACUCCAAAAUUUUUAUAGUGGAAAUCUAACUUCCGGAUGCAUUUGUAGGAGUGGAGAUCAGACCUCAAAAAGUCUGGUUCUCCUCUCUUUGAAAGGAGACUUCAUGCACUUUAUUGUGUGUGACACUUCAGAGUAGAGCAGUGAGGUGAAAACUUCGGUUUUGGUUUCUGAAAUACAUCUGUAUCCGGUUAUUCUCUGUUCUACAACCCUUUUAUUAAACAAUAAACCCCAUGUACAACAACUUGAACUAAACAAAUUUUGUUUUCUCUCUGUGAGAAGAUGAAGUAAAAUCUGAACUUAAGAACAACUCUUAACAACGGAUAUCUUGGUUCUC
rnacentral:misc_RNA from 1 species